rfam:Oryza sativa (indica cultivar-group) chromosome 6, whole genome shotgun sequence.
AAUAAAUCCAUUCAUAAGUUUUUGUGUCCAACUUUGAUCGUCCGUCUUAAUUGAAUUUUUUUUAUGAUUAGUUAUGCAUGACUUAUGUUUUUAGCUUUUUUUAAAAAAAAUUAAAUAAGACAGAUGAUCAAAGUUGGACACAGAAACUCAUGGCUGCACUUAUU